rnacentral:rRNA from 1 species
GAUGAACGCUGGCGGCAUGCCUAAUACAUGCAAGUCGAACGAGAGGAAGGAAAGCUUGCUUUUCUGAAUCUAGUGGCGAACGGGUGAGUAACACGUAGGUAACCUGCCCAUGUGCCCGGGUUAACUUCUGGAAACGGGUGCUAAAACCGGAUAGGUAGCAGACAAGCAUUUGACUGCUAUUAAAGUGGCUAAGGCCAUGAACAUGGAUGGACCUGCGGUGCAUUAGCUAGUUGGUGAGGUAACGGCCCACCAAGGCGACGAUGCAUAGCCGGCCUGAGGGGGCGGACGGCCACAUUGGGACUGAGACACGGCCCAAACUCCUACGGGAGGCAGCAGUAGGGAAUUUUCGUCAAUGGGGGGAACCCUGAACGAGCAAUGCCGCGUGAGUGAGGAAGGUCUUCGGAUCGUGAAGCUCUGUUGUAAGAGGAAAACGACAUUCAUAGGGAAUGAUGAGUGAGUGAUGGUAUCUUACCAGAAAGUCACGGCUAACUACGUGCCAGCCGCCGCCGUAA